GUACACGCUGUGACUAGCAUAUCAAUAAGCGGAGGAAAAGAAACUAACAAGGAUUCCCCUAGUAACGGCGAGUGAAGCGGGAAGAGCUCAAAUUUGAAAUCUUAAAGGGUUUCCCUUUACGAAUUGUAGUUUAAAGAAGUGUUUUCUGUUGAGGUUUUGGUAAAAGUUCUUUGGAAUAGGACAUCAUAGAGGGUGAGAAUCCCGUAUUUGACCUUUACUUUCAACUUUGUGAUACACUUUCAAAGAGUCGGAUUGUUUGGGAAUGCAGUCCAAAAUGGGUGGUAAAUUUCAUCUAAAGCUAAAUAUUGGCGAGAGACCGAUAGCGAACAAGUACCGUGAGGGGAAGAUGAAAAGAACUUUGAAAAGAGAGUUAAACAGUACGUGAAAUUGUCAAAAGGGAAGCGUUUGACACCAGUGUUGUUUUUCUGAAAAUCAAUUAAAGAACUGUUUAUGCUAAGCUUGUUUAGACUUUAUCAGCUAACUGUUUAGUUUUGAGCUUUUCUUUAAUGCACUUUUCAGUUAACAAGUCAACAUCAAUUUCUUUUGCUGUAAAAAAGCUUGAGGAAGGUGGCUUGAGAUUCGUCUUAAGUGUUUAUAGCCUCUUGCCUAUGCAGUCGGAGAGAUUGAGGUCUGCAGCGUAGAUCCUUCGGGGCUAAAUGCAUUUGUGCUAAGUUAUAAGCAUUUUAUAGACAACUUGUUGACUAUGAUUUGUCUUGUAGCUUACUCGCUUAUGUUAUUUUACCUACGCUUAGGAUGUUGACGAGACUGUCGAUCUC
rnacentral:rRNA from 1 species